AGUGAACGCUGGCGGUAGGCCUAACACAUGCAAGUCGAACGGCAGCACAGUAAGAGCUUGCUCUUACGGGUGGCGAGUGGCGGACGGGUGAGGAAUACAUCGGAAUCUACUUUUUCGUGGGGGAUAACGUAGGGAAACUUACGCUAAUACCGCAUACGACCUACGGGUGAAAGCAGGGGAUCUUCGGACCUUGCGCGAUUGAAUGAGCCGAUGUCGGAUUAGCUAGUUGGCGGGGUAAAGGCCCACCAAGGCGACGAUCCGUAGCUGGUCUGAGAGGAUGAUCAGCCACACUGGAACUGAGACAAGGUCCAGACUCCUAAGGGAGGCAGCAGUGGGGAAUAUUGGACAAUGGGCGCAAGCCUGAUCCAGCCAUACCGCGUGGGUGAAGAAGGCCUUCGGGUUGUAAAGCACUUUUGUUGGGAAAGAAAAGCAGCAGGUUAAUACCCCGCUGUUCUGACGGUACCCAAAGAAUAAGCACCGGCUAACUUCGUG
rnacentral:rRNA from 1 species